rnacentral:pre_miRNA from 1 species
CCUCAUGGAUGACCAAAGAAAGUGGUUUCCUGAGAUUAGAAUCUACUUCUGGUAAAGAUGCUGUGAA